rnacentral:lncRNA from 1 species
CAUCAGUAUAUUACCACCAGUAUAUUACUACCAGUAUAUUACUACACAGCGUAUAUUCCACCAGUCCCAGUGAUACGUACCACCAGUCAGUAUAUUACCACCAGUCAGUAUAUUACCACCAGUCAGUAUAUUACCACCAGUUUAUUACCACCAGUCAAAUUCACCAGUCAUAUACCACCAGUCAGUAUAUUACACUACCAGUAUAUUUACCCCAGUCGUAUAUUACCACCAUCAGUAUAUUACACCAGUUUAUUACCACCAGUAUAUUAAUACCAGUUAUAUUACCACCAGUCAGUAUAUUACCACCAGUCGUAUAUUACCACCAUCAGUAUAUUACCACCAGUCAGUAUUACUACCUUUAUUACCACCAGUAUA